GCAAUGCAGUGAUUGCUGCACCCAGAGCCUGUUCCUCUCCCAACUCCUUGAAAUUCUCAGCUCCUUCCUCAAGUCCCUGCUCCUAUGAAUUGGUUACACCUCCAUCAUGCUGCAAAAAUUAAUUUUGUUAUACACCUGUGUCAUUCAGAGCUACCAUUCCUGAAGCUUUUGGUCCUGCUCCAACAGUGGCGUUUGCAAUCCAGGACUGUCAUGCAGUUUCCAUCGUUAUCUUCUGUGGAGUUCUUCAUUCCCACAUCUGUGGACCUUAAAAUCCUACGGUUGAGUGCCUGCCUUGGAUCAGCAGUCGGUUCGUUACCUUGGUUCUCAGACGAUGCUUGCAACAACGCCAUGCGAUUCGCCCACUCUUGG
ensembl:lncRNA novel transcript